rnacentral:rRNA from 1 species
GCAAGUCGAGCGCACCUUCGGGUGAGCGGCGGACGGGUUAGUAACGCGUGGGAAUAUGCCCUUCUCUAUGGAAUAGCCUUUGGAAACGAAGAGUAAUACCAUAUACGCCCUUUGGGGGAAAGAUUUAUCGGAGAAGGAUCGGCCCGCGUUAGAUUAGAUAGUUGGUGGGGUAAUGGCCUACCAAGUCUACGAUCUAUAGCUGGUUUUAGAGGAUGAUC